UGUAUCUUCAAGACUUAGAUUCAGAGCUGAGUUACUUGGCUAUAUGAGGAAGCCUCUUUGCUGAUACAGAUCAUGUAGUGAUGGUGUGCGAAGUCCUAGACAGCAGCAAUUUGAUUCAACAACAUUCUGACAGUGGUGAGAGGCAGAAGCUCUCUUCUCUACACAACUCUAUGGGCUUACAUAUCUGAAAUUCAGUUGAAUUCAGACAAAAUUCAAGUGAUAUAGUGAAACGGAGUUUGUGAUGUCAACUUGCCUAAGGACAAUUUCCUAAAUUGAACACUCUUUCAUGGAAAAAAGUAAAUUGGAACCUGCACUUGUGAGGCUUGGAAACUACCACCUAAGAUGUUUAAAAGGAAAACUGUCGUUUGCCUCAAAAUGUUUAUCCUUGGGAAGGAAUCAAUAUUGUGCUGACUUUCUCCCCAUACCUAAGUUGGCUUUGCUCCAAUAGUAUUAUUUCCCUCUUUACAAAGUAAAAGUCCAAACAAAAAAACUGUUACUUAAAUAAGUUCCUCUCUAAUUUAUUUGUUCCCCAAUGUCACCAGCUCAAAGACAUUUACAAUAAACUCCAUAUUGGAAAUUGCAAAUCUUUCCACAUUGCUAGCACUCAUGGUCACUUUAUAAAUUAUGUAUUUCUUCUUUCAUUGUUUCAUGUGCUUAUAUAUAUGUGCAUGUGUAUAUAUAUACAUAUACACACACACACAACAUACCUGUUCAAACAUUUAUUGUUUACUAUUAAUAUUGUUUGGCUCUAUGUCCCCACUCAUAUCUCAUCUCGAAUUGUAAUCCCCACACAUCAAGGGAGGGACCUGGUGGGAGGUGACUGUAUCAUGGGGGGUGGAUUCCCCCAUGCUGUUCUUAUGAUGGUGAGAUAGUUCUCACAAGAUCCGGUGGUUUAAAAGUGUUUGGCAGUUCCCUCCUCACUCUCCCUCUCUUGUCGCCUUAUGAAGAAGGUCCUUGCCUCCCCUUUACCUUCCACCAUGAUUGUAAGUUUCCUGAGGCCUCCCCAGCCAUGUGGAACUGUCAGUCAAUUAAAACUUUUUCUUCAUAAAUUACCCAGUCUCAGGAAGUUCUUUAUAGCACUGUGAAAACACACUAAUACAACCAUUCACCAAUGUAGUUUUGCCGGCAUAAUUUGUACUCUCUCUGCCCCCACUCUCAGAAAAAUCAUAAUACUCCUUCAGUGUUCUAAUAAUCUUAGACAAUGGGCUAUAUCUGUUCUCCAGCUUGGGUUUCAGCUCACUAUUUACUGCUUUGGUCUCUUGUCAUAUUGUCAAAUGGACAUUAGUGGUGGGGCUCUUUAAUCCAAUUCGAAAUGCAGCCACAACAUUCAGAUAACUUUGGGAUUGCUGAAAGAGAAGACCACAUACCUACAUCUACGAUUAUUUUUUUCAUAUAUUUAGUCAGAGACACAGUAUUUAAUGGGACUAUCAUUAAUAGAGUUACCAUCAUUGGUGUACAUACAACAAAUCCUAGUAAUAUUUUUUUUCUCAUCUCUUGUAUCCCUAAUGCAGUGAACAUCAGUUGGUAACACUUUUUAAGCUGAUAGAGUCUUGUCAGUUUUUUAAAAAUAAAUCACUUUUAGCUAUGCCAAUGCCCUUUUAUCCAGCAAGUCAUGAAGCCACUGUGGGGAUUUUUCCAGUGACUAAACAUGCCUAUCCCAAUUACAGAUUCAGGUACUGGAGUGAAAAACACAGGAUAGACCUCUGGACCCACUGGGCCCACUGUGAGUUUGACCUCAGUCUCCAUCUAUCACCAGAGCACUUUAUGUUCCCUCUCUGGUGGACCACAGUGCAAUUUUUGGUCCCCACAAAUUAGUGUUCAUUCAAAGUCAGGGCCUCGUAAUCUCCAAAAGUUCUGCUCAUUUUAUUUUCCCCUAUGUAGUCACUCUUGUAAAUGGCCACAGCCCUUUCAGGAAGGCUAGAUGGAAGAUUUAUUGUGUGUACAUAUGGCAGUGGUCCAUUAUUGCAGAACAGGUAGUAAAGAGUAAAUUUGUAGCUGAGAGGCAAUAAAUUGAUAACUGGCACAAAGUGUGAAGAGAAUAUAGAGCAUUUCAAAUGAAGGACUUAGACCAUUAUAAUAAAAUGUGGCAAAAUUUAUAUCAAAGACAAUUUAGUCUCUAAGGAGAAUAAAUGUCAAAUAAGAGGAAUGCUUUCUUGAGGAGCAGAUAUUUGAUGCCAUAUUGUAAAACAUUAGAAGAAUAUAUUCACCCCUAUUCAAUAGUCUUAUAAGGUUAAUAAUAUCAAGGGAUGUGUCCUAGAAAUAUUAUCCAUCCUACCAGGGUUGAAAGUAUACUUGACACAUAAUAAGUUUGUACUGAAUCUACUUCUCUUUUCGAUGAGCUUAGAAUGUACAAAUAUUUCUAAUGAUGAAACAGUAUGAAGGCACAUGUUCUGUAGGGGAAUAAAAGUUUCAGCUGUGUACAUUUCUUAUAAAAAUAGUAUUAUUGUACUAUAAGCACUUUAAUAACUGCUUUUCACCUCUCAUUUAAUCAUGUCUGUUAACAACCUUCUAUUACCAUCAGAUGACAAAUAUUUAUCAGUUGUCCCC
rnacentral:lncRNA from 10 species